UUUCGAAAUGAGAUUUGCUUUCAGCGUCCUGAGAUUUGGAUACAGACCACAACAAACAGCGAUCGCCAAGUAAUGUGGAGGUUUUCGUUCACUUCUCAUCUCUACUGUGUUGUGGGGCACUCAUUGAGACUAUCCGAGCCGGUCAGUGUGGGGAAAAAGCACGUUAGGGCGAACUUUGACGCGGGGGGGGGGGGCAAGUUGCCCCAUCCUUUUCGCUAGCUGAGCUGCUAGCUGAGCUGCUAAGCCAUAGACAUAUAUACGUAGACGUCUCAUUGACUGCGGCCGCCCACUCCAGCGGCGUGCCUGCAGCACCUCUAUCUUGGAUCGGGGCUACUCGCUCCUACAAUGCAUUACUUCCAUAGAGGAAUGAUGUGCUUAUACAAUUAAAGUUGUCAAAAAUCGCUCAAUUCUCAAGCAAUUUUGACGGAGUUUGCUUGUAGCAAACGCCAGACACGCUAGAUAGACAGACAGAUAUAAAUAAAAAACAAACAAAAAAAACAGAAAAUGUUCAGAUGUGCUCAGGUUUUUAUUAACUUUACAUUUACAGCUUUACAUUGCAUUGGAGUACAAUUAUUAUUUUUGUAUUACUGUACUACUACUGUAUUACUGUUAUUGCUAUUCAUUUAAUUACGUAUCAUUAUAUUCCUAUAAUAUUCUAUGAUUAUUGUUUAUUAUUUUUUAUAUUACAGUUACUGGUAUUAUUAUUAUUAUUAAUAUUAUUAUUACUACUACUAUUAUAAUUACUCUUACUAUUAUUACUGCUAUUAUUACUCUUAUUUUUUAUCGUUAUUAUUCUUAUUACUGUUAUUAUUACUACUAUUACUAUUAUAUCUAUAAGUAUUAUUAUUACUAUUAUUACUGCUAUUAUUACUCUUAUUUUUUAUCGUUAUUAUUAUUAUUACUACUACUAUUACUAUUAUAUCACGUGUAUAAAUCACGUUCUUUGGGAAAGCUUAAACAUGUGAGAAAAGUAGCCAGAGAUAAAGAAUUGUCUACAACAAAAAUAAUUCCAUCAUAAAUCAGGGCUAUUAUUAGAUCUAUCAGAUGCUGUAUUCUAACCCACCAAUUACUGCAGUAAGUCUGUUUUUUUUUCUUUGUAACAGGCUGUUGCUAGGAACGCUAGAUUCAUAACAUCGAAUUUUAAACAAAAAAUUGUCUCAGAUCAGUUAUUUCACCGGUAAGCAGCUGUGUAAUACACAGGAUGAUGUAGAGAGCUGUUAGAUCAUGGGUAGAAGCCAGACACGGAGCUGAUGGGGUUCUAUCCGUCUUCUUGGCGUUUAUUUCACUCUCGCUGUGACAACCUGCUAACAUUAUUCCUUACAUACAUCUUACAUGUAAAAAGUAAUCCCACGAGCUCUUGUUUCCUUACAGCGCUCAUUAGAGCAUCCAUAGGCUGAACAGAAGUCCGGCAUCUUUAAAUAACUAUGCUGGAGUCAGAGGGAGAUAGUGUGUAGCUUAAGUGUUGAGUGGCAAAAACAGCAUUGUAAAAAAAAUCUGAGCAGCUUAUAUAGUAGCUAAACCUGUGACGUUUCUAAAAAAUCAAACAGUUUGGCAAUCGGUUCAAAAUUCAGCGAAUAAUUCCACUUUGAGAUUCAGCAGUACCUCUUGCCUCGUAGAUGUCUAUGCACCGCUGCCUCCGCUGGUCCUGUUCCAAGAUGGCGGCGCUGUAAGCACGUCUCUCGACAGCCUAUGAGGUGUCUACGUAUAUAUGUGCUAAGCUGCCUGCCUGUCUAAAUACUGGAGCUAUGUCGAAAAUUCAUUUCUCCAUCGCUCACAUGUAUGAAAUGACAUGAAAACAGACCCCAGGUUGAAAAAAACGAAGUUCCCCUUUAAGGCGAAGUGCAUCUGAAGUGAUUUUUUAUUUUUUAUUUUUUAUGUUAGUAUUUUUUGAAUGUCAGUGCUGGCCAAUCAUGUUCUACUGUAACGUCAUGUUAUACUGUAACAUGAUUGGCCAGCGCUAUCGUCAUGGCAUAGUUCUGACCAACCGGGUUGAGCCCUCAUAGAAGACGGGAGCUGGUGGUCUUUCAUUUCCAUUGCGAGGAAAAGCUUGGUUUGAAAAUGUAUGCAUAUGUGCGAUACAUUGCUGACAAUGUCCGCAAGACUGUGUCCACAAAAGAAUUCCAAAAUUUCCAUCCCCGAAAUCUGGAUGACUUCAAUGCCAAGAAGCGGUAUAAAAUCCUCUGGAGAAGGACCUCAGAGGAAAGCAGCUCUUAUUAUUAUGGGCAAAUUUUACAAUUGGCAGGGAUCCUGAAACAGUCUCUCCCCCAGUCUGGAGAAACAGGUCUGGAAGGAGCUGAUGUGAUCACCCCAGAGCUGGACGAAGAAGGAAAAUUUUAUAGAUCAAACUUGGCCCAGGAGUUUCCCUGAACAAGGAGAAAUGGCAGAGGGUGCAGGAGGCCAAAUCAAACUCCCAAUUCUGCAAGUCGUUGGCAGUUUGCAUUUGGGGCACAGAGGGACUGAGGGAGAGAAGCAUCACAGGGGCCAAAUGAAACGUGGUCAAAGACUCUGUCCCCAAGCGUCCCCUGACCCCAGAAAAAGUGGCUGUCAUAAGAGACUGCCUGAGGGACCGGCUUCAGAAGAUGGGCGAUCCAAAGGAGGCCAUUGAACAGCAGCUGGCCCUAGUUAGACGAGCCAUAUCAGAAAAGAUUAGUGAUAUUAGGAAGAGGAGCCCUCAGACAGAGGGAAAGCAGUAAACUGCUGCUGUCGACGCCACAUACUUCUUUGCCAAAGUUGUUGGUUGGUUUAAAAAUAAAUAAAAAUGACAAACUGCAA